GGCAACGUGGCCGAGUGGUUAAGGCGAAUGCCUCGAAGCAAUCAGCUCAGUAAGCAUUUUCCUUCGGGAGCGCAGGUUCGAAUCCUGCCGUUGUCG
rnacentral:tRNA from 1 species